AAAACACAAAAAGGGAAUUAAUAAGAAAAAUAAAAGAGAGAAAAUGAGGCAAAAGACUGACUAUUAAAAUAACUGAAUUUGGGCCAUUUUAAAUAAUUUGGCCCAAUUAAUUACCAAACGCCCGUCCAAGCCCAAAUUCAGCAACCCCGUCCAGUCUUUCCCAUGCAUAGAACGAUGUCAUUUUCCCCCUUUGCAUCUUAAUCGUCCAAUUUCAUUGAUUAAACGGCCCAAAUUGGUUCUUGUUAUAUCAAUAAAAUUGUUUGAGUGUGUGCAGAAGCCCUAGAGACCAAGUUAUCUUCCUCGUACUCAUCUCAGAAACUCCACCAGCGGAGCUGCCACCGGUGAACGAUACCAUCUCCGAUCAACCCCAAAUUGACACGCCAUGAUCCUCUCUUCUCCCUCAUCUCAACUCUACAAAUUGUUUCCUUCAAAACCCAGCACAGUUUGUCGAAUAUUCGUUUAAAGGUUUUCCGGCCACGAUGCCACCUUGUCCAAAUACCUCAAAAUUCACACCGCUGAUUCUCCUUACCACCCUCAUCCCAAACACAAAUUGUUUUUGUUCGAUUCACAUUGGAACCCCUCGAAUUUGAAUUCAAAGGUUUUCUGGCAAAACCCUAAAUGCACAAAAUAGUACCAGCCUAGCACAAUGGGAUACUCUCACCCUAUGCAUAAAGUUUCCAUUAGGCAGGGUGUUCAAUUGUCUCCGGAAUUGGCCAAAUUUGGGAAAAAUGACUGACUGAAGCUUCUUUUCAUUAAGUUUUACCCAUAGCGUCUUUUGUUUGCUUUCUGGUUGAAAUUCAGGGUGAAAUUUAGCUAGUAUUCUUUAGAAGCUUCUAGGUGGGGGCGUUAAGGUAUUUUCAUUGAGAAUGAAAGAUGUAGUUUGAGUCACAGGCAAGUAAUAAGGGACAAAAUUGAAAAUUGAAUAAGGACUUGAAAGAAAAAGCAAUGUCUGAGUUCACCUCUUUUGAUGCCUAUAAAAGGCAUACAUUCUGCCUAAUGGGAGGGGGGGGGGCGGGGGGGUUUUUUUUUNNNNNNNNNNNNNNNNNNNNNNNNNNNNNNNNNNNNNNNNNNNNNNNNNNNNNNNNNNNNNNNNNNNNNNNNNNNNNNNNNNNNNNNNNNNNNNNNNNNNNNNNNNNNNNNNNNNNNNNNNNNNNNNNNNNNNNNNNNNNNNNNNNNNNNNNNNNNNNNNNNNNNNNNNNNNNNNNNNNNNNNNNNNNNNNNNNNNNNNNNNNNNNNNNNNNNNNNNNNNNNNNNNNNNNNNNNNNNNNNNNNNNNNNNNNNNNNNNNNNNNNNNNNNNNNNNNNNNNNNNNNNNNNNNNNNNNNNNNNNNNNNNNNNNNNNNNNNNNNNNNNNNNNNNNNNNNNNNNNNNNNNNNNNNGGGGGGGGGGGGGGGGGGGGGGGGGGUCUUUUUUUUCAGUCAUCAGAAUUACCCCCUAAAAGACCUUCUCUCACUUCCAGAUCUGAAAAUUGGAAUUCAAAUCUCAAAAACCAAAAAAAUCGAAAAUAGAAGAAAAAAAAUCUAAAUUCUACUAUUCCAUUGAAAUUAGAGACUAAUUUCAGCUUCUAUUUGUUAAUUCACAUUAUGUAGUUACUAUCGCUUCUUGUUGACGUGUAGAUGUUCAUUUCAAGUGCAAUGGAAUAAAAUUAAGUGAUUUUUUUGGCUAUGCUUUGGACCAGUGAAGUUUCAUAAGGGUUUAAGUUCAGAUUUAAAUCAGGUUGGGUGUUUUACUGGUUGUCUAUGCAUUUGUGUUCACUUAUGGGUUGGUUUGUUGUUGUGUUGAAGUGGAUCUGCUAAACUCUGCUUGAUUUAACAUUUCUGGGUUGUUCAUUCUAUUUCCAGGGCUUUUUUAAGUAUUGAACUACUGUUGCUAUUCACCUGCUCCUGCUGACUCCUGUUUCUUCUUACUGUGAUUUAAUCCAGGUACAUAUGCAUAACCUAUACUGAUCUGGAGUGUAUGAAUUUUCUGAGAAAAUCAAUGAGGAAGAAGUUUAGUUUAUUUGUCUGAGUUUCGUUGGAGUUUUGACUAGCUUUUUAUGCUUAGUUUAACUUUCCAUGCUUAAUUGUGAUUAGAACAUUUGUUUAGACUAUUGAAUUUGUAUCCGUUGGACUGAAAUGGAUGAAUUAGGAACUAUUGGUAUUAUCUAGAUUUGACUUUGUGAAUUUGAGUGGUAAUUAAGUUUAUGUGGAGUUGGUAAAAUAAUCUAGGUUUCGUGGAUUUGCUUGGAAAGUGAUUCAAUAAUAGAAUAGCUUUUACGGAGGUGAUUUUUCAUUUCUGAUAUGUAAUUAAAAAGGGAAUCUGAAUAUUUCAAUUCACGCCUAUUAUGAUAACCGAAUAAUUUAGUCAUAUCGAGUGGGUACAGGUUAAAGUCAGAAUGUUUAUUUGUGUACAAAUCAUUAAGUCCAUAUGUGUGCCUUAUAGUCAUUUAACUGAGUAAGCAAAACAAGCCGCCUGGGCUGCUCUUGCGCACACGCUGGGGAUCCAAACUCAGAUCCCUUGCGAAAAUCUCACUCAUGCAUGCCUUUAAUGGAUACGUUUCUGUUUGGGCCUCAGAUCCUUGUCACGCAGGCCAAGGUCUAGUAUUACGUCCUUUCACCAUUAAAUCUGGGCCAAUGUCCGGUUGACUUCAGUUCAAUAAACAAAAUAAUUAAUUAGGUCUUUCUUUUAUUUUUAAAGACAAAUAAAUUGGAAAAAAUCAUUGUAACUUUAGAAUUGACCUUUAAAUAAAAAUGUUGAGACGAGCCUCACCGAAUAAAACGUGCAAAAUUGUGGGACCCUCAAUAAAUGGUUACUAAAAUACUUAGCAUCCGGGAUGGGCCGUUUAGUGAAUUUUACGGCCCUCCCAAAAGAUAAUAACGCGUUAGUCUCCUUAGGCAUGCUUUAAAUAAUUCACUUUCCUAAACCCGAGUGUGCAUUUCAUGUGACCCAAAAAAAAUCCUAAAAUGUUGAAUAGAGUAUGUUCAGGAUUCCGGGUGCAUUUCAUGUGACGCAAUCCAAAGACACACUUUAAACGACGUUCAACUUUCUUUUAAAAUAAAAAUAAAUUCAAAUAACAACCGAUUAAAGAUAAAAUUGGCACAUAGGUUCUUCAUGUAAAAAAUUAGAUAAUAAGCUAAAUGUGAUAGUUGAGCGACCACGCUAGAACCACGGAACUCGGAAAUGCCUAAUACCUUCUCCAAAGUUAACAGAGUUCCUUAUGCGGAUUUCUGGUUCGUAGACUGUUAAGAGAGUCAUAAUUUUCCUUGGUUCGGGAUUCAACCGGUGACUUGGGACACCAUAAAUCUCCCAAGUGGAGACUCUAAAAUCUUAAUAAUUAAAUCCCGUUCCGAUUGUCCAUUAAUUGAAAAACUCAUUUACGCCCUUGCGGGAUGUAGAAAAAGGAGGUGUGACAGCUUUAGAGACUCUGCUAGGGAAAAGAGCCCCAAACGUUUUGUUUAGGGUUCGGGAUUCGAGCUUAGAGUAAUUGUUGUGUUUGGCUUUAAGUUAUUUUGUUACAUGGCCUAUGCCUAAUGUGCUAAUUGACUGUUUUUACCGCUUUGAUAUUAUGUGAACUGUAUAAACUGUGUUGAAACCCAUCUCCUCUCUGAGUCUUCUAAAUCGUGAAGAAGUGUGCACUUCGUGUGACUUCUUUUCUGUAUAGUGUCUAAAUUCCCAAUUUAGAAUGAGGUUUGGAUAAGUUGCAAAGCCGGUGAAGCUUUUAUAUUUACGGUAUGCUGCCUCCCCCUCGGCUCGAGCUAUCUGCUCAGGUGAUCCAGGUCUAGAACAAACACCCAGGUUCUGAACCUAGAAUAACACAACUUCAUUCAGGAUCCCUAGUAGGAAUGCUUAUCUGCAUCAUGUGCAUUUUGACUUAGGGGACUCAACAUAGGGGUUGGGUCCGUCUAGGACAAGCAACCUGAAAUAAAAAGACCAUCCAGAUACGUACUACUUGUUUUUUGUGCAUUUAUUUGUUUUGGGACCGCAUGCUGACCAGCUUCUGAAUCUCGAGAAUAUUGGAAAAUUGAGAAAAAGAGAGAAAUUGCAGUGUAAAGAGUUAAUUGCCCAUUUUAGAAAAGCCCCAAUGCCCAAGUAUUGUCGAAACUCUGCCGAAAUUGUGAGAAAAGGAGAAAGAAAAUAUUUUAUGGUUUUUUAAAUUGAAAAUGUGAGGAAAAGAGUCUUUUAUUUUAGUUUAUCUUAUUUUCAAAAAUAGGAAAGGAAAAAUAUUUUGUCUUGCCAUGGAAAAUGAAAAAAGGAAAAGAGUCAUGAUUUCUGGAUUUCUUAUUGUUAAAAUAGUUUAUUCACCAACGGAAAAGAAAAAUAGUUUGUUUGUUUGCCAUAAAAGGAAAAGGAUAAAGAAUUUUGUUUUCAAAUAUUAGAAAGGUCUCUUUGCCCGAACUACGCAGGUUUGAUUCUCACCGGAUGUGAGUGUGACGACCCGGCCGGUCGUCUUUGGAAUUUAUGCCCCGUUCCCCUAUUAACUACUUCCCCAUUGAUUUCUUCUAUUUUUUUUCCGGAAUGUUCGGCAAUAGAAUUCGGAGUGUUACAUUUAAUCCCUAAAUGAGAUCUUAUGUGUUAGAAAAUGGUCCGUGAUUAGAACAGUGUGAAGACGGUCUCGGAAUGGAAAACUAAUAGUUCCCGUAGCUCCGUUAGGUGAUUUCGGGGUUGGGAGCCUGUUCGGAAUGUAUUUUGGAUGUCCGUAGCUCAUUUAAGCUAUAAAUGCCGAAAGUUAGAAUUUUGAAGUUUCCAGUCCAAUAGUGAAUAUUUGAUCCGAGCGUUGGAACGGAAUUCCAGAAGUUGCUGUAGCACCGUCAUGUUAUUUGGAACGGGAUUCCAGAAGUCGAACAAAUGCAUAACAGAAUCCGUUAACUGCUUAGGUGCAUUCAUUCCCUUGGGGUUAUCAAAUCUGCUCAUGAUCUAACCAUUAACCAAGCUGUUGUUGAUGUUGAGUCCAGGCAGGUGGUUAGUUGUUUGGCAUUCUUGUAACCUAUUCCUAUAACACCCGAUCAAAGAUAAGCUGAAAAUAACAGGUCAUGAAUCCGACACCAGUAUUGUGGACCCGACAAAUGAGGUAGAAGUGAUGAAUGUUAAUGCGAUCAGGGAAGAAAUGUAUAAGUUGAGGCACCAAAUGGCUUAAAUGCAUCAGAUUUGGUCUAAGGAUCAACCGGCGCCCGUGUAUCCCGCCAAUCCAACUUACAUUCCACCUUUAGCUCAGUCUCAUGAGCCUCCUACUGUGAAUUCAUCUCCAAUUUUCCCGUUCUACCAACAGAGUUGUGGCACCACCUCAUAUCUUUCCCAAGUUCCACCACCAAAACAAAACCCUCCCCCACCAAUUGCACCUGUUUUUGUGGCGCUUCCACCUGUCACACUGCAAUGAUCUUCCAGUGAACCACUUUUUCAGGCUCACGAUAGAAACUCAUUCCUAUAACACCCGAUCGAAAAAAAAGCUUAAAAUGACAUGCCAGGAAUGCGAUGCCAGUAUUGUUGACCCGGAAAAAGAGGUAGAGGGUAUGGAUGUUAAUGCGAUGAGGGAAUAUAUGCAUAACUUGAGGCAGGAAAUGGCUGAAAUGAAUCAAGCUUGGUCUAGGGGUCUGUCGGCGCUAGUUUAUCACGCCAAUCCAACCUAUCCCACCUUUAGCUUAGUCUUAGGAGCCUUUACUAUGAAUUCAUCUCCAACUUUCUUGUUAUACCAACAGAGUUAUGGUACCACCUUAUACCCUCCUCAAGCUCCACCACCUAAACAAAACCCUCCUCCACCAAUCACCCAUGUCUUUGUGGCGCCUACACCUGCCACACUGCAAAGAUCUUCCAGUGAGCCACUAUUUCAAGCAAACGACAGGCACUAUUACCCACAUGAGCCUACCUCUAAGGUUCCCGGGCCAUUUUCUUAUACCUCUCACUUUGAGCUCCCAGUAGAAGUUGAAAAGCCAGUUAAGAACCCAGAGCAGGAAGAGAUGAUUCAAAAAAUGAAAAGUCUGGAGCAGUCCUUCAAGAAUAUGCAUGGAUUGGGAAAUCAAGUCAGUGUGGCCUAUAAAGAUAUUUGUUUGUUCUCUGAUGUUCAGCUACCUGUGGGGUUUAAAUGCCAAGGUUCGAUCUGUUUGAUGGUCAUGACGAUCCAGUGGCACACUUGUGAGGUUUAUGUACUAAGAUGAGAGGGGCCGGUGGGAAAGAUGAACUGUUGAUGGCAUAUUUUGGGCAAAGUUUGAAUGGGUCUGCACUAGAAUAGUAUACGUGCCAAGAAACUAGCAGGUGGUAUAUUGGGGAUGAUCUAGCACAGGCAUUCGCUGGCCAUUUUCAAUAUAAUCUUGAGAUUGUCCCAGACCACCUGUCAUUGAUAAAACUUGAGAAGAAACCAGAGGAAAGUAUUAGAGAGUAUCGGUUCCGCUGGAGAGAACAAGUUGCGAGGAUCGAUCCUCUAAUGAGAGAAAGUGAAAUUGUGGACUGCUUUUUGCAAGCUUUGGAGGCAACCUACUUUGGUCACCUGGGGAUAGCAAUUGGCAAAUCUUUUAACGAAUUGGUAAAGAUAGGAGCUAUGGUCGAGGAAAGAUUGAAAUCUGAUAAAAUUAUGAGCUAUUCAGCGAUUAAAGCAACCACCCAGGCUAUCCAAAGCGGCACUAGGGGUGUUCUGGGAAAGAAGAAGAAAGAAGAGGUUGCAACAGUCGAAGUCGGAGCUUGGUCUAGAUCUAGAGGCCCUUCACCCUACUACCAACCGAGACUCGACUACCCAAAUUACCCAUACACCCAUAUGGCCCUCCACUACCCUACUACUCACCAUCAGAUCCACAUUUCUCUGUUCACCAUGCCCAAGCUUAUACCCAGCCUUCGGCUCAUGCGCAAUAGCAUGCACCGGCACCCCAAAACACAAACCCACCUCCACAAAAAAUAUAUCCACCCCCAAGGGCCUACAAAAAUCCUCCAGGGUCUGGUUUCCACAGGAAUCAAGCUUUCAAUAAUGAGAGGGUACAGAAGCAUAGAACAUUCAUUACACUAGGGGAUUCAUAUACUAGUAUUUUCCACAAAUUGAGGCAGUUGGGCCUGUUGACCCUGAUUGAGCCCAAAGUGCCAAAUCCCUUUCCUAGAAAUAUGGACCAAUCACUGAGUUGCGAAUAUUGUUCAGAAGCCCCCGGGCAUGGUACUGAAAAUGCUGGAAGCUAAAAAUGGUUGUGCAAGCGCUUCUUGACACUAAACGAAUUGAGGUUCAGGCCUCAGAGGCACCAAACAUUAACCAGAAUUCUCUGCAAGCUUACCACGAGGCUCAUGUGAUCGAAUUUAUGCAUAGGGGAGGGAAGCCUAAGAAACCUUCACAUAAAAUAAUUCGUUCUAGCAAAACCAAUUUGAAUGAAGAGUCAACUAGUGAGAAAGUGGUGUUUUAGUUGAAAUGGGGGGAUAACAAGCCGCUAUCGGCAAAGGUUCUUGGGUCAUUGAGUGGUGCGUAUGGAGACGUGGGAAAGGGGUUCAAAAGGUUAUUCACUGAUGUAAACGUGGUUGAAGCAGGGGAAGGUUCAAACAAGGCAAAUACGCAGUUCGUCUGACCACAGGCAAAGUCAACAACUGGGAGUCUUGGUAGUGGGUCUUGUUUUUAAGUUGUCUGGAUUAUUCCAGGGUCUGUAGUCCAGAUACUGUGUUAUGUCCGUUUGGAUGAGUUAAAACCCUGUUAUCUUCUCCUUCAAUGAAAUGCAAUUUUCUUUCUUUCUUCAUUCUUAAUUCUAUUUUAGUUUGUUUUUCUUCUCUGUACAGUUCUUUUUAUGCUGAUAUCAAUAUCAUGACAUGCAUAAGGAAUCCUCAGCCUAGUCUUGAAGGCCUAUCUUAUUCUGAAGUAAUAAUACAAGAAAUUGAGAGUGAUAAUAAGUUGAAACAUGACGACAAUUUCACAUGCCUGGAACAGUUGAGUUUGAUCGAUGAGAAAAGAUUGGUAUCGGUGUGUCAUGGACAAUUGUACCAACAAAGGAGGGAAAGAUCGUAUAAAAUGAAAUUGCACCCAAGGAAUUUGAAGUGGGGCAGUUAGCACUGAGAUGGAUCUUUCCUCAUUGGGCUGAAGUAGAAGGAAAGUUUCCCUAAACUAGCAGGGGCCAUUUGUCAUAACCAGAGAGUUGUCUAAUGGUGCAUUAUAUCUAACAGAUGUGGAAGGAAAAUGUUUUAAAAUGGCUAUCAACUCUAAUGUGGCCAAUAGGUACUCUGUAUGAUUUCUGUGUUUUGAUUGUACUUGUUUUGUAUUUGCAUAUUUUGAAGAUUGAAAUGACAAAGUCAUUUUGUUCUGUUAUCUGAAACACUUGAUCCUUUGUCAUCCCCUUUGAGCCAUAUUUAUUUUCUUUCAUACCCCUUUUUCGGAAUCAAUGACACAAUUAAGAAAUGCUAGUGCCAAAAAUAAGUAAUUGAAAAGAUGGAAGAAAACAAAAAAUAAAGAAAGUAAAGAAAAAGAGAAAAGGAAAAAAAGAAAAGAGAAAAGAAAAGGAAAGGAAAGAAAAGUAAAAGGAAAGGAAAGGAAAAAGAAAGAAAAGAAAAGAAAGGAAAAAUGAAGAAGGAAAAAGAAAAAGAAAAGAAGAGAAAUAAAAUCAUAACAACGAAGUCUCUAUGACGUGAACUACGUUUGAGUUGAUCCCGAAAGAGUACGUAGGCAGCCUCUCUGAGGUUCAGUCAAUACAAAAAUAAAAAUCUGAAAGUCCCCAAGCAAGAAACUGGGCAGAAAUUGUGAUUGUUGUGAGAAAUUAGAUUUCGAAAGUUGCAAUUUUAACUCAUUUUGAAAUUGUUUUGAGCCUUUUAUAUCCUUACUUCUAACCCAUCCAGAAAGCCUAUGUAACGGUCCAAAGAAAGACCUUCUGAUCAGUUUUUGAGAAAUGCCAAGUUGAGCAGGUAGAAGUAAUUCAUGACAGGGGCAACACUCUGGUUCAAGCAAGAAUAACAAAGUAAAAUGAGAGAGUCUUAUUGGCGAAUACCUUCAUAGGCACCAUUAGGCGACGAGAGCUGAGAGAAAAAAAAUGAGAGAGUCUUAUUGGUGAAAACCCUCGCGGGCACCUUGAGGCGAAAGUGAGUUGAGAAAAGGUUUAUUGAGAAAGGUCUGUCAGGGAAAACUGUUUCGAGGCACCGCAGGAUGAACAAAGUUAAGGUUUGGGUAAAGUAAUCAAGAGAUGGAAAUUCUGGGCAACAAAGUAUGGCAAUUGAAAGCUGGUUAGUUGGACAAAUUGGGUAGAUUAAUCCAAAAUGCAUGUCUUGACCAUUGGUACCAGAUGUUCCAGUCAGAUAAGUUUCUUUUCCUUCUCUUCUUUUUAAGACAUUCAUCUGGUUUUGGAUUCUUAUUAUGCUUAACUCAUAAAAUUAUUGCAUUUCAUUUUAUUUUGAGGGUUUUAUAUUUCUAAGAUGUUCAAUGUUAGUUUUGUUCCAUGUAAGUAGAAAUGAUUUCAAAGCUCGCUACCAACUUUCAAAAAUGGUAAAGCAAAAUAUGGUCAGAGCAACAACAGAAUGUAAAGUGGAGUAUGGGGAAUCACCGGACGUCUCGUCGGUGGAAUGAUUGGGAAAUGUCAUCGGAAAUGUAAAAGUUUAGAAAGGGGGUCAGAGAUGUGUAACAAUAGUAUGGGUACAGAACAUUCGGGUUGUCGAAGGUCAGAGGUUGAAAAGUCAGGCGGAAAGUCAAGCAAUUCAGGGCCAGUUCGAGGAAGCCAAACAAAACAAAGUCAUACAGUGGAAAGAUUUUCAGCAAGAAUGCCAUCAACUAACCAACAUCUUAAACUGGCAAAAUUUUAUUUGAUUGAAAAAGGGGCAGAAAAGUUGGUUGUUCAGGAGGAAUUCUCCAUAAGGGAAAAGCAAGUAGUAAUCAGGUUUGACCGCAAGUGUGGUAUGGUUAAAAUACAAGAUAAUGUGGAAUAACAUAGGGAAAUGUAAGUUAGUUUCAAAGUUUGCAUGUUUAGGAUAAAAUUCAAGUUUUAAAGUUGGGAGCCCGCUCAUAUAACAGAGGAAUACAUUUCAGUCUUUAAAUUUUAAAGUUAUAUUUUAGUCUUUAAAUAUUCAAGUUUUGAAGUUGGGAGCCCGCCCAUAUAAUAGAGGAAAAUAUUUCAGUCUUUAAAUUUUGAAGUUAUAUUUCAAUCUUUAAAUUAUUAAGUUUUGAAGUUGGGAGUCCGCCAUAUAACAGAGGAAUACAUUUCAGUCUUUAAAUUUUGAAGUUAUAUUUCAGUCUUAAAAUUUUCAAGUUUUGCAGUUGAGAGCCCACCCAUAUAACAGAGGAAUACAUUUCAGUCUUUAAAUUUUGAUGUUAUAUUUCCGUCUUUAAAUUUUCAAGUUUUGAAGUUGGGAGCUGGUCCAUAUAACAGAGGAACACAUUUCGGUCUUUAAAUUUUGAAGUUAUAUUUCAGUCUAUAAAUUUUCAGGUUUCAAAGUUGGGAGCCCGCCCAUAUAGCAGAGGAAUACAUUUCUGUAUUUAAAUUUUGAAGUUAUAUUUCAAUCUUUAAAUUUUCAAAUUUUGAAGUUAUAUUUAAGUCUUUAAAUUUUCAAGUUUUGAAGUUGGGAGCCCGCCCAUAUAAAAGAGAUAUACAUUUCAGUCUUUAAAUUUUGAAGUUAUCUUUCAGUCUUUAAAUUUUAAAGUUUUGAAGUUGGAAGGCCACCCAUAAAACAGCGGAAUACAUUUCUGUCUUUAAAUUUUAAGUUUUGAAGUUACAUUUCAGUCUUUACAUUUUAAGUUUUGAAGUUAGGAGCCCGCCCAUAUAACAGAAAAAUAUAUUUCAGUCUUUAAAGUUUGGAAGUAACACUCAGUCUUAUUACAAUUCCAACUUUAUUUUCCAAAUUCUUGUUAAUAUCUAGUAAUGUAACUCCCAGUUUUCCAAAUCGGGGCAAAAAGUUUUCUUUGUUUUGUUUAUUUUUGUGAAUUCAGGAGCCCACCUGGAGAACGAGGAAUAAAGUUCAAGUUUUGAAGUCAGGAGCCCGCCCGAAUAGCAGAGGAAUACAUUAAAGUUUAGCGGUUCGAAGAAAGGGACAACAUCUCAGUUUACAAUUCGAAGUGAUAACAAUGGAUUUAACCAGCAGACACAUGAGACAACAAGGCAACAAGAAAACACAAGACAACAAGGCAACAAGAAAGCACAAGAUAACAAGAAGUACAAAAGCAAGUUUGAAGAAUUUAGAUAGGAUUUUUUGUAAUUCAUAAGUCAUGGCUUAGACUACCUUCUUUUUAUUUUUGACAUGAUGUAAUAAGGAAGGUCAGCAAGCAGUAGCACCAGCAAUCGCAGUGAAAUCACAUCCCCUGAUAAUCCCAGCUACCAGACACUCCCGAACUACACUAACGUGAUUCUUUUUUAGCCCAGGAUAUGUAGGCAGCCUCUGAAGCAGGGUGCGGUCAACUCUUUCAAAAAUGCUUCACACACUGAAUAUUCGAACAUGCAAAAAUUGCUCGCAUUUGCUUAGUUAUCUUUGCUUUACACACUCAUUCUGCUAUGAUAUAACUGACCAUGGCAAACUCCAUGCAUUCUCUUUCCAUCUAUAAGCGUUAACUGCUCGUAGCGACCUUUUACCCACUUUCCUUCAUCUAACUCUGCUUCCUGUAUGAUCCUUAAGGAGGGGAUCUCUACUUCAGCGGGAACGACUGCCUCUGUACCGUAAACCAGCAUGUAGGGAGUUGAUCUUGUUUAUGUGCGGACCGUGGUACGAUAACCCAAUAAGGCGAAUGGCAAUUGCUUGUGCCACUACUUAUGCUUUUCAAUCAUUUUCCUUAGUAUCUUCUUGAUGUUCUUAUUGGCUGCUUCUACAUCUCCGUUAAUUUGAGGUUUCUAAGCCGUAGAGUUCUUGUGUUUGAUCUUGAAUGUUUCACACAUUGCUUUCAUCAGGUCGCUGUUAAGGUUAGAACCAUUGUCGGUGAUGAUUGAUUCUAGAACCCCAAACCGACAAACCAUAUGAUCUCGGACAAAAUUUGCUACUACUUUCUUGGUGACUGCCUUGUAUGAUGCUUCAUAAACCCAUUUGGUAAAGUAAUCAAUUGCCACUAGGAUGAACAUGUGCCCAUUUGACGCGGCUGGAUCGAUUGGUCCAAUAACAUCCAUUCCCUAAGCGGCGAACGAUCAUGGUGAGCUUUUUGCAAUAAGCUCGUUUGGAGGUACCUUUAUCAUAUCUGCAUGUAUUUGACAACGGUGGCAUUUUCAGACGUACUGGAUGUUGUGGAGUUCUUGUGUUUAAUCUUGAAUGGUUCACACAUUGCUUCCAUCGGGUCGCUAUUUAGAUUAGAACCAUUGUCGGUGAUGAUUGAUUCUGGAAUCCCGAACCGAGUGACCAUACGGUCGCGGACAAAAUCUACUAUAAUUUUCUUGGUUACUGCUUUGAAUGAUGCUGCUUCGACCCAUUUAGUAAAGUAAUCAAUUGCCACUAGGAUGAACCUGUGCCCGUUUGAUGCGGCAGGUUCGAUCGGUCCAAUGACAACCAUUCCCCAAGCGGCGAACGACCAUGGUAAGCUUGUUGCAGUAAGCUCGUUUGGAGGUACUUUUAUCAUAUCUGCAUGUAUCUAACAAUGAUGGAAACUUUUGACAUAUUGGAUGCGGUCCAUUUCCAUAUUCAUCCAAAAAUACCCUGCAUGGAGUAUCUUCUUUGCUAAAACAAAACCAUUCAUGUGUUGUCCACAAGUCCCUGCAUGCACUUUCUCCAAUAGUUUGGUUGCUUCUCUUUCCUCGACACAUCUUAAUAAUCCCAGAUCGAGAGUCCUCCUAUACAGGAUUCCUUCGCUGUGAAAAAUUUGUUGGAUAACCUCCGGAGCGUGCGCUUCGGAGUAGCAUUGGCAAGUUCUGGGUAUUCUCCUAUUGUCAUGUAUUCUUUGAUAUCAUGGAACAAUGUUUCACAUCGGCUUAUUCCACGACGUGAGCACAAUAAGCUGGUUGGUCGUGAAGUGUGACCUGGUUGGGAUAAAUAAAGUUUGUAUCUAGAUGUUUGAUCAUAGACGAUAAAGUGGUUAGGGCAUCAGCGAACUCAUUCUGUAUUCUUGGAACAUGCUGGAAUUUUGUCUUUUUAAAUCUCUUUCUCAACUCCUGUAUGUGAUGCAGAUAAGGGAGUAUCUUGGAACUCUUGGUUGACCAUUCUUCUCGAACUUGAUGUAUGAGUGGGUCUGAGUCUCCGAUUACUAGUAACUCCUGAACAUUCAUGUCAAUCGCUAGUUUGAGCCCUAAGAAGCAGGCUUCGUACUCGGUCAUGUUGUUGGUGCACGGGAAUCUGAGCUUGGUGGAUACUGGGCAAUGCUGACCGAUUUCUGAUAUUAGGACUGCUCCUAUACUGACUUUUUGAAAUUUUCAGCUCCAUCGAAAAACGGUGUCCAACCAUCAUAGGAUUCUGCAAUAUCCUCUCCUAUGAAAGCUACCUCUUCUUCAGGAAAAUACAUCAUUAGAGGUUCGUAUUCUCCUCCUACAGGAUUCUUGGCGAGGUGAUCUGCCAAAGCUUGUCCUUUGACUGCCUUCUAGGUAACAUAAACAAUGUCAAACUCACUUAACAGGAUUUGCCAUUUGGAGAGCUUGCCGGUAGACAUUGGCUUUUGAAAGAUAUAUUUCAAUGGGUCCAUUACGGAUAUGAGAUAAGUGGUGUAAGCACAAAAGUAAUGCCUCAACUUCUGAGCUACCCAUGUCAGAGCACAAUAUGUGCGAUCUAAUAAGGAAUACCGAGCCUCGUACGGGGUAAACUUUUUGCUGAGGUAGCAGAUAACUUGCUCUUUUCUUCUGAUUUCAUCAUGUUGUCCUAAGACACAACCAAACGCUCCAUCCAAUACUACGAGAUAAAGCAAUAUGGGUCUCCCUGGUUCAGGCGGAACCAAGACCGGUGGCAUCGACAAGUACUCCUUUAUUCUGUUGAAAUCCUUUUGACAAUCAUCAGUCCAUUUAGUGGCGACAUACUUCUUUAGCAUCUUAAUGAUGGGUUCACAAAUGACAAUGGACCGAGCAAUGAACCGGCUGAUAUAGUUGAGUCUUCCCAGAAAUCUCAUUACAUCCUUCUUGUUCUUUGACGGUGGCAACUCUUGAAUGGCUUUGACCUUAGACUGACCCAAUUCUAUUCCUCGAUGACUCAGAAUGAAACCCAAUAACUUUCUUGCAGGAACCCCAAAUGCACACUUGGUGGGAUUCAGUUUCAAGUUGUAUCUCCUUAAUCUGUUGAAGAACUUCCUCAAAUCUUGCAUGUGAUCUGUAGCUUCCCUGGACUUGAUGAUGAUGUCAUCCACAUACACCUCAAUUUCUGUAUGUAUCGUGUCAUGAAAGAUAGUAGUCAUGGCUUUUAUGUAGGUAGCACUAUCAUUAUUCAAACCGAACGGUAUCAUUUUGUAACGGCACAUCCCCCAUGACGUGAUGAACGCCAUUUUCUCUGCAUCUUCUUCAUCCAUCCAUAUAUGAUGGUAUCCAGCAAAACAAUUGAUGAACAACUACAGCUCAUGUUUGGCGCAGUUGUCAAUCAAUAUGUGUAUAUUUGGCAAAGGGAAGUUGUCCUUAGGACUAGCCCAGUUGAGAUCCCGGUAGUCGACACAUACUCUAACUUUCCCAUAUUUCUUUGGCACUAGCACAAUGUUGGCUAACCAUGUCAGGUACUCUACCACUCUGAGAACCCUGGCUUUGACUUGCUUUGUAACAUCUUUUUGAUUUUUAGACUCAUGUCUGGCUUGAAUUUUCUGAGUUUCAGUUUCAAUGGCGGGCAUGCCGGAUCUGUCGGCAGCUUGUGAGCUACAAUGAAUGUGCUGAGACCUGUCAUGUUGUCAUAAGACCAUGCGAAGAUAUCAUUAUACUCCAUUAGGAACUCGGUGUACUCUUUCUUUUCUGAUGACGACAAAUUCAUGCUGAUACGCGUUUCCUUGAUGUUCUCUACAUUCCCUAAAUUGACAAUCUCAGUUUCUUCCAAAUUGGACUUAGGCCUAUUCUCAAAAUUCUCGACUUCCCUGACAAGCUCUUCUGGUAUAUCAUCUUCUUCUGAAUCUAUGUCUGUUUGUUGCAUUGCCUCAUUGGAUGUCACAGUCGUUGGUUCAUCAUCAAGAUAUGCAAUAGUAAUGUUGUGUAAAAUAAAAUAAAUGAUAAAGAAAAGUAAUAAGAUCCAGAUAUAAAAAAUAAACUUGGAAAAUGUUUUUGAUUAAAUUCAAUAACUGUUCGAAACAUCGGUGCUCUUUUCAACUAAGAAGUAAAAUGCGUGCAUAGUGCGUCGUUUAGCCUUGCUACCCCUAAGCUCUUCAUGCACCGAUGGUCCUGACCGACCAAUUGGUGAAGAGUUCUCCUCGGUUCACAGCUUGAAUAGAAGGGCCUCCUCCUUGAAGUUAACACAACAAUCAACAUCAUCCUCUAGAAACAGGUUCUUAAUUGCUGCCAGUGCCUCGUCUUCCUCUGAUCCAUACAUAAUGCCAGCCUGCUAAAAGGUUUGCUCCAGCUGAGGUAUGGAGUUUUCCGAUGGAUAGUAGGGACCAUGCUCUGGCCGCGACCAAUGGUUGAACUCCUCCCAGGUGUAUUCAUACCCCAAGCCAAAAGUGGUACCACGCUUCUUCAACUUGAUGGGCUUGGUGAUGCCCAGAGAUUCUUGCCAAGUCCCAUUCCGGGCUCAUACCCGCUUCAAUUCAGAAUGCUCUCAAUUUUAUUAUCCCCCCACUUGUCUUUGUCUAUGGCGUUGACCCGCUCGAUGUGAUGGUAUGUUUUUUCCACCUAUUUCCUUAUGCCUCCAACCAUUGGGAUGGUUUGGCGACUGUACAUAUGGUUGCUACUAUCGUCGUGAAUGAUUACUUCCUGAUGAUUCCAUUCGAACUAUAUAGCUUGAUGCAAGGUUGAUGCCACAGCCCCAGUAGCGGGGAUCCAGGGUCGCCCCGGCAAAAAAUUGUAGGAUGCUGGCACGUCUAUGACUUGGAAGUCAACAUCGAAUCAGGUAGGUCCCAUCUUCAAGCAUAGGCUAAUUACUCCAAUGGAGGAUCUUUGAGACCCAUCAAAAGCCUUGACCUUGAUAGCUCCAUCUUUAAUUUCGUGCAAACCCUUACCCAGUGUCCUGAGGGUUAUUAGUGGACAAAUGUUAAGGCUGGACGCCCCGUCAACCAAGAUCCUGGUGAUGAAAUAAUCUUCACAUUGCGUAGUGAUGUGCAACGCCUUGUUAUGACUAAGCCCUUCUAGUAGUAACUCGUCCUCGUGAAAGGUGAUCUUAUGGAUUUCCAGUACCUGCCCCACCAUAGUCACCAUUUCGCCUCAUGUUAUGUUUCUGGGAACAAAAGCUUCACUCAGUAUUUUCAUUAAGGCAUUUUUAUGUGCCUGAGAGCUUUGCAGAAGAGCCAAGAUGGAAUCUGCGCUGGUGUUUUGUUCAGUUGCGCAACGACUGAGUACUCUUUGGCCUUUAUCUUUCUCCAAACGUCAUCGGUCCAGUUUCAACAGACAUCCAGAGGCUGGCUUGCUAGACUCAACUAAAUGUUCUGGAGUGUAUACCCUGCCGGUUCUAGUCAUGCCCUGUCCAGCGAUCGCCUCUCCAGUAUAUGCUCUCCCUCUCCUUCUAGCCUCAGCUUUGUAAUCCCAAGGUAUGGCGUUCGUCUUGAAUGGGGUCACAUCUAUCAUGGAAACCGAAAUAGGCAUCUUGGGAGGUAACACAGUAACUUCAAAUGGUCCAGGUGCUUUUGGGAUACCAAACUCAACCUCGAGUGGUUUUGGUGCCUUUGCAGGAGGCACUUCAAACUCGAGUGGUGUAGACACAUUUACUACAUCGCCCUCAGAGGGAUGGUUCUGAACCACAAUGGGAUUGAGGGUAACCGCCAAUUUUUUAGGUUCAUCUCCUUCAGCUAUCAACCCGAUUGACCCCUUGGGGUCCCAAUCAUCCUAAUCCUCGAUCAUAUGGAUUCCCCCACCCUUGUGGUCAGGCAGAGGGUUGUUGCUGACAUUGGGAGCGGGCUCCUUUGCUACAAUGACCUCGUUAUCGAUUAGAGUCUGGAUCUUGUCUUUCAACGAGCGACACUCGUCGAUGGUAUGACCUUUCAUUCCGAAAUGAUAUGCACAGGUUUUGUUGGUAUUGAUUUAUUGGGAAGAAUUUUUUGGAGUUAUGGCUGGGAUAGGUGAAACGUAAACGGCUGCCUUGAGUUUAUCAUAUAAUUGGUCAAUUGGCUCGGCUAUGGUGGUACACUGUCUGGGAGGUCUUCAGUCGAAAUUCGAUCUGGGUCGAGGAAAUUUUUGUCGAGUGGGUGGUGAUGUGCAAUGAGAAGGUUGGGAGUUGUAUUCUUGGUACACAUGCGCUGGUUGGGAAUAUCUUGGUGAAGUGGAUUGAUAUGUGGGCGGUGGAGGUGAUUGGUAGGAACAUGGUGGCAUUUGGUAUGUAGGUGAGGGUGCUUGGUAAUUUAUGGUAGAUUGGUAUGUGAUUGGAGUUGAGGGAUAGGUUUGGUGCUUCAUAUGGGAAUUGCUCCUUUUCUGUCACGCCCCAAAUCCGUGGGCAUGACCGGCACUCAACCGGGUAUUCCCAGCCGAGUGGACCUGGGUGCCCUUCCUAUUUCCCACGCGUUACCCCACUUUAUUCAAUGAUAAUUAGCAAAAGGAUACUAAAUUUGCAAUUGAAAGAACAUAAGAUUUCUCUUAUAUAACCACACAUUAUGAUUAACAUAGAACAUCUUUUAUAAAACAUAUAUUACAAUUAAUAUGGAACGUGGUACACAAGUUUACAGCGCCCAACACAUACACCUUAAGACGUAAGCUCUGACACAUAUACCAUUGUCUACAGAGCCUCUAGGAGAAAGAUAAUACAACACUUGCCGGCAACAGGGCCCCGGCCAUACCUUUACCAAAUGAUAAAAAACUACAAAAAUACAACAACAGGGGUGGAUAGGCCACACAUGGCCCCGGAAGGAAGGGGCUCACCAACACGAAUAAUGCCGAUAGCGAGAAGGAGGAGCUACGAACGGUGGACUGGAGUGCCUGCCACGGAUCCACCUACAAUCAUAACACGANNNNNNNNNNNNNNNNNNNNNNNNNNNNNNNNNNNNNNNNNNNNNNNNNNNNNNNNNNNNNNNNNNNNNNNNNNNNNNNNNNNNNNNNNNNNNNNNNNNNNNNNNNNNNNNNNNNNNNNNNNNNNNNNNNNNNNNNNNNNNNNNNNNNNNNNNNNNNNNNNNNNNNNNNNNNNNNNNNNNNNNNNNNNNNNNNNNNNNNNNNNNNNNNNNNNNNNNNNNNNNUCUAAGGGACGUCAGUACACUUGAAUUGUACUAGCAUGUAUGAACUAACUCUGUCCCAAGUAAACUCAAGUCAAAAUGCAUGUACAAGUAUAGAACUGAACAACAACAGUACAGUUACAACAAUGGAGCAUCAACCAAAUACUUCACAACAAUUGAUUCAAUAGUCAAACAUAGGGGCAAUCAGUACCCCACAGGUAACAAACUCUCCUGAUGUCUCCUUUUUACAUUUCCACAUUUAUCAUUUCAUGAUUCGUAUUCAUAUAAAUAGUGAUAUUGGAUCACAUUUUCCACCCUUAUUGCCUCAUCCACCCUUAUUACCUCGCAACCCUUAUCGCCCCAACCCACACCUUAUUUCACCGUGUUGCGGCGCGCAACCUGACCCCUGCAUGACAGUUUUCAAUUCACAACAACAAACAACAUAACAACAGAUACGCCAUCCUUAUCAACCCAACCACACCUUACUUCACCGUGUUGCAGCGUGCAACCCGACCCCGCCUGACAGUUUUCAGUUCACAACAACAAACAGCACAACAACAAUUACAAGAAUUCAAUUAUGGCACAUUAUUAGCAUAGAUCCACAACGAGGGUAACGCAAUCCACAACUAGCAACAACAAUUCCUCAGGUUCAUCAUACUGGUACACAAUUUAUAUCAUCACAACAAUUAUUCACAACUAAUCACACACGUUAUUUCGUAAUACUUCCAUUUCCACUAUUCCACAUUAUUCCUAUUUCCAUUGUUCCACAUUGUUCCAUUUCCAUUGUUCCACAUUGUUCCAUUUCCAUUGUUCCACAUUACUUUCCAUUCUCGUUGUCCCAAUUACAAAUUCCACAACAUUCAUCACACAAUAUUACCACACAAUCAUACAACACAAAGCCUCACAAUGAUUUUUCGCAUGAAUAUCUACUAUCAACAAAUUCACAUCUAGCAUAGGGCGAUUUCACAAGGAUCACAAGUAGCCAUACAUACCUGGAGCUGAGUUUUCCCCUUUUAAACCGUUAGUCCAAUUUUCCAAGUAAUCAAGAAGUCAAUCUAGUUCAUGAACAACACUUAGGCUUUAGAAAAUUAACUAAUAGUUACUACCCAAUUUCCCUUUUACAAGAUUCUUGAGUUUUGAAGACAUGCAUGAAGAUUAUAUGAAGAAAAUUCAAAGCAAGUGUAUGGGGUUCCCUUCCCAAGCUUAAACUUUGAAAUUAGGGGAAUGGGUUAGGGAUUUUACCUGAGAAAUCAACGGAGAAGACAAUGCACCAAGGGUUUUCCACACUCCAAUGAUUUUGAAAGAUAAAUUGAUGAAGAACUUGCUUUCUCUCUCUACGAUCCUCUCAUCAUCUCUCUUAUUUUGAUCAGAAAAUGGGAUUAAAAAAAGGGAUGGGGUGUUUUUUAUAAAGAGGGGUCGGGCUUACAUUUUUUGAAAAAUAACUGGGCGAGCUCACUCUGCAAUGCCACUCUGCGAUCGUAGAACAGACAUGCGGUCGCAAAAUGGACCGCGGAAAGGGCUCAAAAUUCAAACCUCUCGGGUUGGGAAUGUGGUAGACAUGCGGUCCGCAUUUGCGUUCUGCGGUCGCAGAAUGCACCACAGAACUGACCUUCUAAUUUCCUCAGGGACAAUAUGCGAUCACUAUGCAGUCCGCAUAUUGAUUAUGCGAUUGCAGAUUUGACCGCAUUUUCAAUAUCAAAAAUUGGUUGCUCUCUGAUUCACUCUGCAGUAGGAAUGCGGUCCGUAUAGCUGAUCUGCGACCGCAUCCUGGACCGCAUUUUGACCAUUUUCUGGAAAAAUUUUGAUUUUGCAUUUUCAAGUGCAAAACAAUACCAAGGGUCUAAUUCACACAGGUAGACUCCACUCUAUGAGCUGCUAGCAUCUGAGCGCUCACUUUCACGGGGUCUUACAUCCUGCCCCGCUUAGGAUUCAUUCGUCCUCGAAUGAGGGCUUGGGAACCAAAUGAAUUUGAAAACAUGAUAUGCAAGUUUCUACACCUUUUAUUAACUUUCAAGUUUUUUUUUAGAAAAAAUUUGCCAGAUUUUCCUUUGUAAUAUGGACAUAAACACGUGUCAAAGAAUCCCCAAAACACAUUCCCAAGCAUUACUACACAACCUUACUACCUUUACAACAGUUGUAUAAUGCAUAAUCCGUACAUUUGCACAUAUUCAACCUCCUGAUACACUUUUAAACCAUUUGGCACAUAACAUGUGAUAAAUUAAGCAUUAAUCGUCUGCACUAUUAAAGCCAUUUACCUAUCACAAGGGUAUAACACAGUCAUUCAUUUCAACAGAAUUCCCCCAUGACACUAUUAAAGUCAUUUACCUAUCACAAGGAUAUAACAUAGUCAUUCAUUUCAACACAAUUCCCCCCAUGCAAAAACUAAUCAUUACACAAUUAGAACACUUUGAUACACAGUCUCCAUGCAAAAGCACAUAUUCAACCUCUUGAUACACUUUUUUAACCAUUUGUCACACAACAUAUAAUCAAAUUAACCAUUAAUCAUCCGCACUAUUAAAUCCAAUUACCAAUCACAAGGGUACAACACAGUUAUUCAUUUCAAUACAAUUCCUCCAUGCAAAACUAAUCAUUACACAAUUAGAACACUUUGAUACACAAUCUUCAUGCAAAAUUAAUUAUUACUUCCAUAUAUCACCUUACCAUGGGUGCACAAAACUUUCAUUACCAAAAAGGACUGCACAUUGUUCAAAUAAUCACAACAUAUAAAUUUUGUUAGCACAACUUUGAUAAACUACAAUGAUAAGGCACUUGGAAAGAGAAGGGAUGGCUCUUACACCUAAUGGAACACACACUAGCUCUCCUAGGAACAAGAUUCACACGAUCAUUCCUAGACUUACUCAAACAUAUGGGGAUAUUUUAUCUUCAUCUCAUCCUCCGUUUCCCACGUGGCUUCCUCGACUUGUUGGUUUCGCCACAACACUUUAACUGAAGCAAUCUCCUUAUUCUGCAACUUUCGGACUUGCCUAUCCAGAAUAGCAACCGGAAUCUCCUCAUAUGAUAAAUCUUCUGUAACCUUGAUGUCUUCCACGGGCAUAAUUUUGGAUGGAUCACCCACAACUUUCCUCAACAUGGAUACAUGAAACACAGGGUACACUAGAGACAUUUCAGGGGGCAAUUCCAAUCUAUACGCAACUUGACUGAUCCUUUGAAUGACUUGAUAAGGCCCGACAUAUCUAGGACUUAGUUUUCCUUUCUUUCCGAAGCGCAUGAAUCCCUUCAUAGGAGACACCCCCAAGAAUAUCCAAUCUCCCUCUUGAAACUUCAAUUCUCUUCGACACACGUUCGCGUAGUAUUUUUGGCGACAUUGAGCAGUCUUCAUUCUCUCUUGAAUGAAUCUUACUUUCUCCAUGGCCUGAUGCACGAGAUCUAGCCCUAUUAAAUCUGCUUCACCAACCUCGAACCACCCGAUCGGGGAGCUACACCUUCUUCCGUACAAUGCUUCGAAUGGGGCCAUCCGGAUGCGAGCAUGAAAGGUGUUAUUAUAAGCAAACUCUAUAACGCGCAGGUGAUCAUCCCAAUUACCUUUGAAAUCCAAGACACAUGCCUCGGAUGCUAGCAUGAAAGUCGUUAUUAUAAGUAAACUCUAUAAGGGGCAGAUGAUCAUCCCAAUUACCUUUGAGAUCAAAGACAUAUGCCCGUAACAUAUCCUCGAGCGUCUGAAUAGUCCGCUCUGCUUGGCUAUCGGUCUACGGAUGAAAAGUUAUGCUAAGAUUCACUUAAGUACCAAAACCUUACUGAAAUUUUCUCCAGAAGUUAGUUGUAAACUGAGCUCCUCGAUCCGAAAUAAUAGAAAGCGGCGUACCAUGAAGCCUCACUAUCUCCUUGAUAUACAGCCGAGCAUAUUGUUCUGCAGUAUCAGUGGACUUGAAUGGCAAAACGUGAGAUGAUUUGGUGAGCCUAUCCACAAUUACCCAAAUUGAGUCAAACUUGUGCUGAGUACGAGGUAGUCCUGUCACGAAGUCCAUAUUGAUCAUUUCCCACUUCCACAUCGGUAUUUCUAUAAGCUGAGUGAACCCUCCCGGCUGUUGAUGCUCGGCCUUCACUUGUUGGCAAUUCGAACACUUUGAGACGAAGUCCGCUACACUCUUCUUUAUACCACUCCACCAAUAGAUAUUUCUGAGAUCGUGAUACAUCUUUGUAGAGCCUGGGUGCAUUGAAUACCUGUAAUGUUGAGCCUCCACCAUUACCCUCUCCCAAAGAUCAUCCACAUCCGGGACACAUAACCUGUCAUGGCACCAUAGCACACCAUCAUUGCUGCCGAGUGAAAAUGCUAAAAUUUUGUUACUUAUAGCUGCCUCCUUCAAUUGUGCCAAUGCUGGAUCAACAAAAUUCUUUUCUUUAACCUCUGCCACAAUCAAGGAUUCUGCUGUAUUAUGCACCAUAAGUCCCUCCUCAUUUGGGGCCGAGAUACAAACCCCAAGGCUAGCCAACUGAUGUACCUCCCGAGCUAGGAACCUCUUAUCCGCUCUCAAGUGAGCCAAAAUACCCAUGGAUUUCCGACAUAGGGUGUCAGCACCACAUUCGCCUUCCCUGGAUGGUACAAGAUGUCCAUAUCAUAAUCCUUAAGAUAUUCUAACCACCGUCGCUGCCUCAAAUUCAGCUCUUUCUGCUUCAUCAAAUAUUGAAGACUCUUGGAUCUGAAAACACAUAUACAUGAACCCCGUAUAGGUAAUGCCGCCAUAUUUUCAAGGCGAAUAUAAUUGCUGCAAGUUCCAAAUCAUGCGUCGGAUAAUUUUUCUCGUGAUUCUUGAGUUGCCCGGAAGCAUAUGCUAUAACCUUCCUGUGCUGCAUCAGAACACACCCUAGACCAACCCUAGAGGCAUCACAAUAAACCACAAACCCCUCUGUGCCUUCUGGCAAGGCCAAUACUGGUGCCGAAGUCAACCUUGUCCUCAAUUCCUGAAAACUUUUCUCAAGAGCAUAUGACCACUGGAACUUAGCUGAUUUCUAUGUCAAUUUGGUCAAUGGGGAGGCGAGGGUAGAGAAUCCCUCUACAAACCUCCGAUAAUACCCUACUAACCCCAAAAAGCUACGGAUCUCCAUCGGGGUCGUGGGCCUGGGCCAAUCCUUCACCGCUGCAAUCUUUUGGGGGUCUACCUGAAUCCCCUCACUAGAAACAACAUGAACCAGAAAAGCGACGGACUCCAACCAAAAUUCACAUUUGGAAAAUUUGGCAUACAAUUGGUGCUGAUGUAGAGUCUGCAAAACCGCUCUGAGGUUACUGGCAUGAUCCUCCCUACUCCGCGAAUACACGAGGAUGUCGUCAAUGAAAACAAUCACGAAGCAGUCUAAGAAUGACUUGAAGACCCGAUUCGUAAGAUCCAUAAAAGCUGCCGGGGCAUUGGUUAGCCCAAAAGACAUGACCAAGAAUUGAAAGUGUCCAUAACGCGUUCUAAAAGCGGUCAUAGGAAUAUCUUGCUCCCCGAUAUUCAAUUGGUGGUACCCGGACCGCAAAUCAAUUUUGGAGAAGAACCUUGCACCUUGCAAUUGANNNNNNNNNNNNNNNNNNNNNNNNNNNNNNNNNNNNNNNNNNNNNNNNNNNNNNNNNNNNNNNNNNNNNNNNNNNNNNNNNNNNNNNNNNNNNNNNNNNNNNNNNNNNNNNNNNNNNNNNNNNNNNNNNNNNNNNNNNNNNNNNNNNNNNNNNNNNNNNNNNNNNNNNNNNNNAUUAAGCUGCCGAUAAUCGAUACACAUCCGAAGUGACCCAUCCUUCUUUCUGACAAAAAGAAUCGGAGCACCCCAUGGCGACACACUUGGCCGGAUAAAUCCCUUCUCUAAUAUAUCGUUCAACUGCUCUUUUAACUCCCGCAAAUCUGCCGGCGGCAUUCUGUAUGGGGGAAUAGAUAUUGGUUGGGUAUCUAGCAACACAUCGAUCCCGAUAUCAAUCUCCCUAUUUGGCGGAAUUCCUGGAAGCUCGUCUAGAAAUACCUCAAGAAACUCAUUCACAACUGGCCCGGACUCGGGGACAGGCACCUUUGGAGUAGUGUCCGCCACCCGGACUAAAUGAUAAAUGCACCCUUUUCUGAUCAUCUUCGAAGCCUUGAGGUAGGAAAUAAACCUACCCUUCGGCACAACACCAUUUUCCUUCCAUUCACCAACCAGCUCAUUAGGGAACUCGAGUCUCAUGACUCUCGUCCAGCAAUCAAGUUUAGCAAAGCACGAAUAGAGCGAAUCCAUCCCUAUGAUUACAUCAAAAUCCACCAUCCCAAGCUCGAUACGGUCAGCCGUGGUGACACGACCACCAACCAUAACAAUACAAUUCCUAUAGACCCGUGCGGAUGUAAUAGAAUCACCAACCAGAGUCGAUACAGAGAACGGCUCAAGAAGCUGCUCGGGUUCAAUCCCUAAACUCGAAGUAACAAAUGGAGUAACACAAGACAAAGAAGACCCCGGAUCAAUAAGAGCAUAGCAAUCAAAGUCCUGAACAGAUAGGAUACCUGUGACAAUAUCUGGGGAAGCCUCAGCACUAUGACGGCCACGUAAUGCAUAAAACCUGCUGGGUCCGCCCCUACCACGAGCUCCACCUCUGGAUGCACCACGCCCUACUCGGGCUGGAGGGUGCACUGAUGACGUAGCAAGUGAUGAACUGGAUGGCUGAGCGAGUCCCAUGUCCUUGCCCUGUCGGGGCGCAUGGCAGUCCCCCUGUAUGUGACCUCUCACCCAAC
rnacentral:lncRNA from 1 species